CUACCUGGUUGAUCCUGCCAGUAGUCAUAUGU
rnacentral:rRNA from 1 species